rnacentral:tRNA from 1 species
GCCCUUAUAGCCCAACGGCAGAGGCACCGGUUUUAGGCACCGGACGGUGAAGGUUCGAAUCCUUCUAAGGGCA